CCCCAGACUCCUACGGGAGGCAGCAGUGGGGAAUAUUGCACAAUGGGGGAAACCCUGAUGCAGCGACGCCGCGUGAGUGAAGAAGUAUUUCGGUAUGUAAAGCUCUAUCAGCAGGGAAGAAAAUGACGGUACCUGACUAAGAAGCCCCGGCUAACUACGUGCCAGCAGCCGCGGUAAUACGUAGGGGGCAAGCGUUAUCCGGAUUUACUGGGUGUAAAGGGAGCGUAGACGGCAUGGCAAGUCAGAUGUGAAAGCCCGGGGCUCAACCCCGGGACUGCAUUUGAAACUGUCAGGCUGGAGUGCAGGAGAGGUAAGUGGAAUUCCUAGUGUAGCGGUGAAAUGCGUAGAUAUUAGGAGGAACACCAGUGGCGAAGGCGGCUUACUGGACUGUAACUGACGUUGAGGCUCGAAAGCGUGGGGAGCAAACAGGAUUAGAUACCCGCGUAAA
rnacentral:rRNA from 1 species